GACGAACGCUGGCGGCGUGCUUAACACAUGCAAGUCGAACGGUAAGGCCCUUCGGGGUACACGAGUGGCGAACGGGUGAGUAACACGUGGGUAAUCUGCCCUGCACAUCGGGAUAAGCCUGGGAAACUGGGUCUAAUACCGAAUAGGACCACAGGACACAUGUCCUGUGGUGGAAAGCUUUUGCGGUGUGGGAUGGGCCCGCGGCCUAUCAGCUUGUUGGUGGGGUGAUGGCCUACCAAGGCGACGACGGGUAGCCGGCCUGAGAGGGUGUCCGGCCACACUGGGACUGAGAUACGGCCCAGACUCCUACGGGAGGCAGCAGUGGGGAAUAUUGCACAAUGGGCGAAAGCCUGAUGCAGCGACGCCGCGUGGGGGAUGACGGCCUUCGGGUUGUAAACCUCUUUCACCAUCGACGAAGGUCCGGGUGUUCUCGGGGUGACGGUAGGUGGAGAAGAAGCACCGGCCAACUACGUG
rnacentral:rRNA from 1 species